UGAUUAGUUUAUAUAGCAUGGAAAGAGUUGGAAGUACAAGGAUUCUUGAUCCCUAAGAAUAUCAGCUAUGGAUCAUAAAUCGAAUGAAUCAUACGUUAAGUUUCAGUUGCAGCUAUUCCCUUGUACAUUAGAUUCUGGCGGAUGAGAAUUGAGAAGUAGUUGCUUAGAUUCUAGUCAUCCUUGAUUCCUUCAAUAUGAAUGCAUUCAUA
rnacentral:misc_RNA from 1 species